UACUUUGAAAUCCAUACUCUCAGAUGGUAGUGUAGCUAUGGCCGCUCUUAUUCCCACGGCAAGGCCUUUACCACUGCAGGAUCAUCUUCCAGUUACUAUUAUCCACUGGCGGGGGUCGUAAAGCCAAGUUAUUUUUACCCACUGGCUGGGGUCGUAUGCCUAGUUACUGUUACCCACUGGCGGGGGUCAUACAUAGCAAUCUGAGAGUUCUUUAAAACAUAUCAUACUUUUCAUAAAUCUUUUCUCAUCAAU
rnacentral:lncRNA from 1 species